ACUGGAUUCCAGUUUGUAUAAUUCCAGGUUUCUGAUUCACAACACAGAAAUUUCAGUGCUUAAAGCCCAAAACUGGCAGCUUAGUAAACCCAAGUACCAAACCCACAACACUGUCUUUAAUAACACCAUGCUCUAACACUGAGCGAUUAAAACUAGUUUUAGCUUCAAAAAGCACAGACUUUCAGUAGUGGUGUGGAACGGUCUGUAAGAGUAAACGACAGUUUGGACUGUAUGGUUAAUCGUACAUCUUAUCUAUUGGGUGGCUGUUAUUUGGCAGCAGGAUCUUCAGGUGAACUAAUAGCAGGACCUUCAGGUGGAUUGGCAACAUGAUCUUCAGGUGGAUUGGGGUAACAGGACCUUCAGGUGGACUGAUAGCAGGACCUGUAGAGAGUUUAUCACCGUCUUCAUCAGUCCUGGUCCUGAUCAC